CGAGACCUUCAAACUCAUUUAUGAGGUCAUGACCUCCUUCCAUUCUGGCCUCAGGCAGCAGCCAUGAAUCUACUUCUCUGGAUACAGAGACACCUUUUCCAAGUUAAAUCCAUGUGAAUUUCCUGCCAGCUAGGAUGUCUUCAAUUCGUAAUUCAUAUCCCCAUGAACUCUCAAAACAUCACAAGGUUUCUCAUCAUCACUGUAUGUCUUCAGAGGCGACUCUUGGCGUCAAAGGGUUGUAGGAGCUAAUGCAUGAUGGGAGAUUAAAAUGAAUCUAUCUCAGCAAACGAGAUAAAGCAAUGCGUCGAACAUUUCUGACUCUUUGAGACUCAGGGAAAGACUUAACUGUACUCUGAGCACUCUUGGCUGCUUCUUACUGGGCGACUCUCAUUGCACUGAGCUUGAAGAAAGAGUAAAACAGAGGUCAGAGUCCUUUUUGAAGUCGCUCCAUCUCAGCAUCGACGGGAGUUUCCAUGCCUGACGGGUGCGUGGCAGAGAGGAACUGGAUAAUUAAAAGAUGCAAAAAAAAAAAAAGCAUAAAACAUUUUUUUUCAGCCAGUGUUGCUGUUCUUCCUUGAAAUACUGCCUCUGAAGAUCAAAGAUAAACAAACAAGCUGGGGGAGGGGUCGGAAAGCGACUCCAACCGGACCAAGUAUCCUUUUUCCUCUACUGAAAGCCAGAGCCUUCCUUUCGGAAUGUAAAUGUUUUCCUUAAAACUUGCGACAAUCACGGAUGUAAAGGAGAGCUUUUGUCGCAGUGGGGUCUCUUAUCUGCACUGACCUGUCGCUCCUUCAGACGGAGAUGUGGGCCCCAGUUCUCAGGAUUUUAGAAAAGAAUGUGUUCAAGUGAGGGUGGGGGUGGGUGAGGAAGCUGAGCCGUGCAGACGGUUUAACAUGCAAAUGUCUUCAGUUUCUUUUAGGUGGAGGAUCAAGGUUUGGCUAUUUUCAACUUCUUUUCCACUCCCCCUCUCUUCCCAUCCCAGUUUAGUUUCUAGAGGACUGUGGAUGUGACAAGGGCUUUGUGUAGGGAAUUCAGGGGAAUGAAAGGGCCAAGGAGACCCAGUUGAGGGAACAAACUUUUGGGGGUCAGUGAGGUCAGUUUGGAAUAAAAGUGUGGCAUUGUUGGUAUUAAGGACAUGCUCUCAGCAGGGUGUCCUGAACUGGGCACACAACUCCAGGCCUGUUUAUUCAACACUGAAAUACCUAAGGAUGGGCCUUGGGGAGAAAAUGGAAAGCCAUGCCAGGGGCCUGCAACGGCACCUUCCAGCCCCAGAGUGCUCCCGGGACACACACAAAGCCUUGCUUUUUCCACAUUUCGGAGAAGAAAGUGCCUGUGCAUAACCCAAAAUUAAUUGAUUAAUUAACCAAUGCAUUAAACGAAGAGCUUCCGUGG